ACCACCAAGACCCUGCUGGGAUUUAUUUACUGUUUUUGUUCUUUCUAGUUUCAUCGAGGUUACCUGCAUCAGGGAAGAGAGAUCCUUGCUGUCAGUAGCUUGGCACCUGCAGGCCUUUGUUUUUUUUAAUCCCAACUGGACCUGUUGGUACCAGAGCCCCUCUGUACACCUUCAGUUUGUUCCCAUUUAAUUUCAUCAGGCCUCUUGUAGCCUCCAUGGUGUUACUACUGAUGCCUCCGAUGGGGAGAUUGUGUUAUCAGCGGGGCCGAGGAGCCAGACUGCUGCUGCGCUGAUGGAGUGACAAGAGGUAUCCACCACUAAGACGGCAAAACACACCUGUGGCACGCAUACUUCUGAGUCCCCGAUGAGUCAGCAGUGAGUUGGCGUUAAACUGAGGAAUAGAUGAGAUUCCGACUGUCUACAUCCUGCACAUCAGACUAACAUCAGGCAGGCAGCUGAGAGUCUAUCUGCAGAUACAGAGUCACUACAGGACACACCUUCAGGACACACCUUCCACAUGGCAUCAAAAACGUCUCAGUUAGCUUAGGAGGGGAAAAAAAACAUGCCAAAGGAAUCAGGACGGCUCAGGUUGUCAGCACAGUAGGCACCAUAUGAAAAAAGAUCCAGGGAGAAGCGUAGAAAACGUAAAAAAUAUAAAGGAAUCACAAAUGAAACAAGGAGACAUUUGUUAAUGCAGCUGAAUGAGCA